GACGAACGCUGGCGGCGUGCUUAACACAUGCAAGUCGAACGGGCCUUGUCCCCUUUUUUUUGGGGGUGGGGUUAGUGGGGAACGGGUGAGGAACACGUGAGUAACCUUCCCCUCACCUCUGGAUAAACGCUUGAAAGGGUGGGUAAUACGGGGUGUUCUGGCCUGCUCGGCUUGGGGGGUUUUGGAAGGUUCGACCGGGUUUGGGUGUUUUGGGGGGGGGUGGGCUCGCGGCCUAUCAGCUUGUUGGUGGGGUGAUGGCCUGGCAAGGCUUUGACGGGUAGCCGGCCUGAGAGGGUGGGCGGUCACACUGGGACUGAGACACGGCCCAGACUCCUACGGGAGGCAGCAGUGGGGAAUAUUGCACAAUGGGCGCAAGCCUGAUGCAGCGACGCCGCGUGAGGGAUGGAGGCCUUCGGGUUGUGAACCUCUUUCGCCAGUGAAGAAGGUCCUGCUCUUUGUGGUGGGGUUGACGGUAGCUGGGUUAAUGAAGCGCCGGCUAACUACGUG
rnacentral:rRNA from 1 species